GCUAGGUCGUGUCCAGGCACCAUCUGAUACAGAACAAGACCACCCACAGAGGACACCCAGCAGGCAGAUCUGCCAGGCUGCUGCUGUCCUGCUGCAGAGAUACUGAAAGCAGAAAUGGUGACAAACAGGCAGUGACAUUAGCAGCACAACAGGAAAUGCUCAGAGAUGAAGAGAGAGAGGCUGGAAGAUAGGAAUGAGACAAGGGCUUACAUAAUCAUAUUUAGGCAACCAUAAACCCAUAUUAACACCUUCCCCUAUGUCCCACUAAAUUUUUAAUUCCAGAGGUGCCUGGAAGCACUAUGUAAAGUGAAAUCAAACCACAUCAAUGUAACAUGUGGCAUGUGGCAUGAGCAGACAGUUCAGUUAAGUCCUACUGCUAACACCUUAAUAGCUUUCAGACUAAGGAGUGUGUUUCUCACCCUUGCUCUCCUACCUUCUACAUGGAGCAAGAAGUACCAUUACAGGAGGCCUUCCCCACACCAAACAGAAGAUACAUGAGCAGAUAUCCUCUCUACUUCACAGGAGCUGCCAAUAGAAAUUCCUUAGCUCUGUGAGGAAUAUAGUCUGAGGCCUUGUGAAUUAUGAGGUCACCUGAAAUAGAACAAUCACGCCAGGCAUUUCCAAAUCCUCCUGGUCACAAGGAGUGAACUUAAUAAAACACUUGUUUAACUAACAGCAACUGAGGUGUCAUGAGCAAGUGAAUUCCCCAUCACUUCCUCUUGUCACCUGUGAUCAAUCAACCUCAGGAGGUUCAGAAGUUCAUUCAUAACCUGCAGAAGAGCAGGACUGUAGGCCCAGACACAUGUGGUGUCUCUGAGCCCUUUCUCUGCAUCCUUGGCCAGUGGGGCUUCAUAUUCAGACAAAGGUCUCCGAGGAGUGACAAGGCAAGGAUGUGGCCCAGCAUUGCUGGGUCUAUUUAAGAUGGGUAUGACGUGAACAUCAAUGAAGAAAGACAGGCUUUCUAAGAGGGAGUGGUGAUCUGCAGUUCUCUGGGAAGACUUAGCACCCUAUUGGUCAUCAGUGCCUGACAACAGGCUGGCUGUGGGCCUUUGGAUUUUCCCACUGACCUCAUUUUUCAAGGUUGCAUUUUCCACCUCUGAUGGUUUCAGGUUUGAUCUUAAAAUAACUCUACCUUGCAGUGAUUCAUCCACAUCUAAGGGUUGGGUUUCCUGGCCUCUUCUGAGCCUGGUCGUAUUGAAAUGUAUUUCACACCCAAUAUCUGUCAACAACGGGAGAGAGCUGAAGAUAACAUGACAAGCUUUGACUUGGAAAGGUAUAGUAUUAGGUGCUUAUGUAUUUUCCAAAAACAGGUACAACUCUGCAUUGCCAUGGUGACAUAGCCCUUCUUAAUUCUCCUAAGCAAUGAAAAUUAGGGGACUUACUGGCCAGAGAAUGAAAGUAUGGACCCAGGGGCCUGGGAGAUGACACAUACUUGUUCAUGAGUUUGGAAGCCCACUUAGUUCAGGGAGAGAAAGCAUAAUUCAAAAAUGGCUAGCUACUGACAUCCAAGAAUAGGAUUUAGAUCCAUC